rnacentral:rRNA from 1 species
UGGCGGACGGGUGAGUAAUGUCUGGGAAACUGCCUGAUGGAGGGGGAUAACUACUGGAAACGGUAGCUAAUACCGCAUAACGUCGCAAGACCAAAGAGGGGGACCUUCGGGCCUCUUGCCAUCAGACGUGCCCAGAUGGGAUUAGCUAGUAGGUGGGGUAACGGCUCACCUAGGCGACGAUCCCUAGCUGGUCUGAGAGGAUGACCAGCCACACUGGAACUGAGACACGGUCCAGACUCCUACGGGAGGCAGCAUG